rnacentral:tRNA from 1 species
AGGUAGUUAUCUCAAUGGUAGAGUAUUUCUCUUACAAAGAAAAGGUUAAGGGUUCAAGUCCUUUACUACCUA